CUCAUGGUCAAGCCUCAACUAAAGAGGAGGAUAAUGGUUCUCUCAAUGUUGACAGGGCAGCAGAACAGAUACUUCCUCCAAAAGCGGUUAAUUCUACUUCUGUCGCUUCUGAGGGUAGGGAUGAUAGUCCCGAGGCUGAUUCCCCGAGUCUACAUUUUCUUUAUGGAAAUCACCUUCACAUAAUGGAACUUUGGCA